rnacentral:rRNA from 1 species
GGGUUGUGAGGUUAAGCGACUAAGCGUACACGGUGGAUGCCCUGGCAGUCAGAGGCGAUGAAGGGCGUGCUAAUCUGCGAUAAGCGCCGGUAAGGUGAUAUGAACCGUUAUAACCGGCGAUACCCGAAUGGGGAAACCCAGUGUGACUCGUCACACUAUCAUUAACUGAAUCCAUAGGUUAAUGAGGCGAACCGGGGGAACUGAAACAUCUAAGUACCCCGAGGAAAAGAAAUCAACCGAGAUUCCCCCAGUAGCGGCGAGCGAACGGGGAGGAGCCCAGAGCCUGAAUCAGCAUAUGUGUUAGUGGAAGCGUCUGGAAAGGCGCGCGAUACAGGGUGACAGCCCCGUACACAAAAGCGCAUGUGCUGUGAGCUCGAUGAGUAGGGCGGGACACGUGGUAUCCUGUCUGAAUAUGGGGGGACCAUCCUCCAAGGCUAAAUACUCCUGACUGACCGAUAGUGAACCAGUACCGUGAGGGAAAGGCGAAAAGAACCCCGGCGAGGGGAGUGAAAAAGAACCUGAAACCGUGUACGUACAAGCAGUGGGAGCCCCACCACUAAGCCAGUGGUGAACUCCACAUACGCAUCCUUUGCUGAGGAUACGGUUAACGGAGCGAAAGCGACGUUCAACCUCAAAAGAAGCAGAGGGGGCUUAGUGGUGGGGUGACUGCGUACCUUUUGUAUAAUGGGUCAGCGACUUAUAUUCUGUAGCAAGGUUAACCGUAUAGGGGAGCCGGAGGGAAACCGAGUCUUAAC